UACCAGCACCCCGAGUGGUCGGGACGUUUAUUGGGCCUAAAGCAUCCGUAGCCGGUUCUGCAAGUCUUCCGUUAAAUCCACCUGCUUAACAGAUGGGCCGCGGAAGAUACUAUAGAGCUAGGAGGCGGGAGAGGCAAGCGGUACUCGAUGGGUAGGGGUAAAAUCCGUUGAUCCAUUGAAGAACCACCAGUGGCGAAGGCGGCUUGCCAGAACGCACUCGACGGUGAGGGAUGAAAGCUGGGGGAGCAACCGG
rnacentral:rRNA from 1 species